AUUGAACGCUGGCGGCAGGCCUAACACAUGCAAGUCGAGCGAGCGGCGGACGGGUGAGUAAUGUCUGGGAAUCUGCCCGAUGGAGGGGGAUAACUACUGGAAACGGUAGCUAAUACCGCAUACCAUCGGAUGUACCCAUAUGGGAUUAGCUAGUAGGUGAGGUAAUGGCUCACCUAGGCGACGAUCCCUAGCUGGUCUGAGAGGAUGACCAGCCACACUGGAACUGAGACACGGCCCAGACUCCUACGGGAGGCAGCAGUGGGGAAUAUUGCACAAUGGGCGCAAGCCUGAUGCAGCCAUGCCGCGUGUGUGAAGAAGGCCCUCGGGUUGUAAAGUACUUUCAGCGGGGAGGCGUUACCGGCAGAAGAAGCACCGGCUAACUCCGUGCCAGCAGCCGCGGUAAUAC
rnacentral:rRNA from 1 species